UUGAGACAAAGGCUAAAUGUACCUUGAACUCUGAUAAAUUCCACACUUUACAGAGUUUUUAUACAAGUUAAUCUGCUUUCUGGUUGCUACCAGGAAGUAUGCAAACAUUUCACUUGCUUGAGGAAAGGACGGGUUCAAAUAUUUUCUGUAUUGUUGAAUUUGAGCCAGAAUAUUUAUGAUGGUUUUUGUUUCAUUCUCAGUAAAAGUAGGUGUGUGUUUGCAAGUCUUUGUACAUAAAAAGAAGCGAGCUUGAAAGCUCACAGAACUGGCUCUCAUCGUCUCUGAAGAGUACCAGGAGUUUCGCAAAACUCAACACUCUGCAGAACCUGAUCUACAGACAGCAGAGAACAUUCAACAAAGGAAUCUGUCACUGUUGCAAAUCAAACAUUUUGAGAUCAUCUGGAUCUGCAAACUGUUGCCAACAACAGACCAAGGCAGAUUGACACCGAAGGAGAACCAACACUGACAAUCAGGAUGUGCCUGUUAUUGAC